UACGUAGGGUGCGAGCGUUUGUCCGGAAUUAUUGGGCGUAAAGAGCUUGUAGGCGGUUUGUCGCGUCUGCUGUGAAAAGCCCGGGAGCUCAACUCCGGGGUCUGCAGUCGAUACGGGGCAGCUUUGAGUGUUGCAGGGGGAGACUGGAAUUCCUGGUGUAGCGGGUGAAAAUGCGCAGAUAUCAGGGAGGGAAACACCCG
rnacentral:rRNA from 1 species